GGCUGGUUAGCUCAGUCGGUUACAGCGUGAUGCUGAUAACACCAAGGUCGCGGCUUCAAUCCCUGUUCAGCCC
rnacentral:tRNA from 1 species